CUUCUAAUGACAAAGAGAAUUUUUUUUCCAAUAAUGCUACUUGUUCAAAGUAGCUUGACAAAGGAGACUUACAAAGUGACGUGUACGGCUCAGAUUAAAAGGCAUUGGACAGCUAAGAUGUUGGCAGAAAUCUUAAACCAUUUACUGACCCAUUCAGAAAUUCAAACCCCAUUUACUACCCACUUAGAAAUUGAAACCGGAGUAGAAGAGAGGCGAAAGUUUUGAAAUUAGGGCGGUAAAAACGAAGCGGGAUUCCGACUGAUUUUCACGUUGCUUGUUUCAUCGACGAAUCCGCAUUGAACGUGAUUGCUCCUCCAGUCCAUCUUCUCCAUCUCCGAAAUCGGAACUACAAUUUUCGGCAAAUGCUCAGCUCCGACAGUCUCUUUGUGCUUCCGUCGUCGUCACAUCUCUGGCAAUCGCUCAACUCCAGUAAUAUUAGCGGCUAAAUAACGAAGAAGAGCUCUUGAUUUUUGUGAAUGUGAACGUGGCGGUUAGCCGGGGAAAAUGGACGAACACGACAUGAUUAGUGGGUUAUGUUGAGCUAGUUAUGUUAUGUUCAAUAGCGGCAAGGUCAAAAUCUUAAUUUGUUAUUUUAGAGUAGUGCAAUGAAUUGGUAGAUUUUGGUUGAAAGAGAUGACUUACUUCAGGUACCUUGUCUUACUAGCACAUUGAACGUUUGGUUAAUUAUAAUAACAAGAGUUUGGAGUUUGUUAAA